rnacentral:misc_RNA from 1 species
UUAAGUUCAGCGGGUAUUCCUACCUGAUCCGAGGUCAACCUUAAAGAGGUUAGGGGUUUUACGGCCGGACGCCGCGCCUGACGCCCCGAGCGAUAGGAUUUACUACGCUGAGGUCCAGGCGGGCCCGCCACUGCAAUUAGGAGCCUACAGCGCGCAAAUGCGCUGUAGCGCCCCAACGCCAGGCCCGCUCCCCUUCCGGG